rnacentral:rRNA from 1 species
CACGUAGGGGGCAAGCGUUGUCCGGAAUCAUUGGGCGUAAAGAGCGUGUAGGCGGCCCGGUAAGUCCGCUGUGAAAGUCGAGGGCUCAACCCUCGAAUGCCGGCGGAUACUGUCGGGCUAGAGUCCGGAAGAGGCGAGUGGAAUUCCUGGUGUAGCGGUGAAAUGCGCAGAUAUCAGGAGGAACACCUACGGCGAAGGCAGCUCGCUGGGACGGUACUGACGCUGAGACGCGAAAGCGUGGGGAGCAAACAGG